CUGGUGUCAGCCGCCGCGGUAAUACCAGCACCCCGAGUGGUCGGGACGAUUAUUGGGCCUAAAGCAUCCGUAGCCGGUUCUGCAAGUCCCCCGUUAAAUCCAGCUGCUCAACAGAUGGGCCGCGGAGGAUACUACAGAGCUAGGAGGCAGGAGAGGCAAGCGGUACUCAGUGGGUAGGGGUAAAAUCCGUUGAUCCAUUGAAGACCACCAGUGGCGAAGGCGGCUUGCCAGAAUGCGCUCGACGGUGAGGGAUGAAAGCUGGGGGAGCAAACCGGAUUAGAUACCCGGGUAGUCCCAGCCGUAAACGAUGCAGACUCGGUGAUGGGUUGGCUUCGCGCUAACCCAGUGCCGCAGGGAAGCCGUUAAGUCUGCCGCCUGGGUAGUACGGUCGCAAGACUGAAACUUAAAG
rnacentral:rRNA from 2 species